ACUCCUACGGGAGGCAGCAGUAAGGAAUAUUGGUCAAUGGACGCAAGUCUGAACCAGCCAUGCCGCGUGAAGGAUGAAGGUCCUCUGGAUUGUAAACUUCUUUUAUAUGGGACGAGACCCGGGAAUUCUUUCCCGAUUGACGGUACCAUAAGAAUAAGCACCGGCUAACUCCGUGCCAGCAGCCGCGGUAAUACGGAGGGUGCAAGCGUUAUCCGGAUUCACUGGGUUUAAAGGGUGCGUAGGAGGGUAGGUAAGUCAGUGGUGAAAUCUUCGAGCUUAACUCGGAAACUGCCGUUGAUACUAUCUAUCUUGAAUACCGUGGAGGUGAGCGGAAUAUGUCAUGUAGCGGUGAAAUGCUUAGAUAUGACAUAGAACACCAAUUGCGAAGGCAGCUCGCUACACGAAUAUUGACUCUGAGGCACGAAAGCGUGGGGAUCAAA
rnacentral:rRNA from 1 species